GCCUCUUGUCAGAUAACCCUGAGUUAAGCUGUGGGUACUUGUUAAUGCAGUUAAUAAAGCAACUAGUUUACCUAAAAGAUGAAAUCUAAUGUGUUUGUGUUUGUAUGUGCCGCAGUGUCGUGGACACCCGCAGAGAGAGCUCCUCUGCACACACAUGAAACUCUCCUGUGAACAAGAAACAUGCCUCUAUGUUAGAAAAGUGAAGCUCCCUGUCAAGACUCCACUUCAUCAUGGAACUCAGAAUCUGGACUGUCAUCCAGCACCCUGCUCUUUAUCUUCUCCACCAACAACCCCUCUCUGUUUCUACGUAUUUCCCAGAAGUGUUGACUGUUCUUCCUCCUUCCUUUGUGCCUUCUCUUGACUGGGUGAGCUGAUUGUGACAUCAAGUGUUGCUCAUGUACUUGGACGUCUCCCUCUGCGGACAACUGGACUGCAUCCUAUUACUUGAAAUAUUCAUCACAAUACUAUCUACAGUAGAACUUUUGCUUAGUGGAAUAAUCAGUUUUGUUUCAUCAUGUCAUGUCUGUCCAUUCUUAAAGGGAAGAACUUAAAACUGUGAAUAUGUGUAUAGUAUUACUGUUAGGAUGUUUGCUAGUUAAGAUACUACUCUCUAUUUUUUGGUCUCUACAAUGCUCAUAUUUACUCUUUAGGUCUUCUCAGAGAGACGCUGAGAGAGCUGCUCUUUCUUUAGUCAAUGGUGCUAUUUUGAUUUAUAAUGUAGUGGUCUAUGAUGACUCCUUUGUACAAUUUAAAAGCAACACCAAUGGAUCAACUCUGUAGGUAUAUACUGCUGCACAUUAAAGAAAUAGUCCAACGUGGAAAUAUGCUUAUUCUCUUUCUAGCGCUGACUUAGAUAAGAAGAUCGAUUGAACUCUCAUAUCUGUCCCUUAAAUAUGAAGCUACAGCCAGCAGCCGUUAGCUUAGCUUAGCAUAAAGACUGGAAACAGCUACCCUGACUCAAAAUCUGCUCGCAUAAGUACGUGUACAUUAAACAAACACGAUAUAAUGUGUCAAUAAGGUUCAGAGCUUACGUUCAGACUAGUUGUUUCCCCCUGUUUCCAGUUUUAUGCUAAGCUAAGCUAAUCAUUGCUUCCUGCAGCCGAUGUACAGAUAUAAAAGUGGAAUCUAUCUUCCCAUCUAAAUCCCUGUCAGAAAUCAAGUAAGCGUAUUUCCCAAAAUGUCCAACUAUUCCUUUUAAGGUGGCCACAUUUACUGCUAGCGUAUGUAUUAUUACUGUUCAUCAAUGUAAGAGCAGCCUUUCACAAUCGGAACGUUUUCCAGCUCCAAUCAGAGACGUUGGUGUUUCUUUGUAAAUGUACGUCGUGGUAGACAUGAGAAAGUGAAAACAGUGGUGAUGGGAGAAAGGCAGAGAGCAUGAACCCUCUAUAGCUCUGGGAUCCAGAAAUAAGUGAAAACACGUUUCAGUGGAAAAAUGCUCCGGGGGCAAGCAGCACUGGGAUUUGAUCAAAUGGUCUGCUUUCAUAUGUCACAUGUAAUGCAACUGAAAAGCAAGCUGAUAAACAACAUGCGCUCUUUGGAAUGACAACCUCAAGCUGAGUCUCCUGCUGAAAACACGUCAAGGUUACCAGCAAUUCUUAAAAAAACCCAGAAACGAUCUGCCUGUGACUGCGGGUUUGGCCGUGAUCCUGCUCCUCAGUUCUCUCUCCUUGUGACGGACUGUUUGCAGCAUGCAGUUGAUUAUAAUCUGCAGGUUUUCAUUUGUCGUCGGCCAGCGUGCCCGUCAGAAUCAGACACUUAGAUGACGUCCUAGCUUCUUGUUUACAUUAUAUGCUUUUCGUCCUUUGCUCUUAUUUUAAUAGUCUACACAAGCGACUAAAACCGGUGAAGCAGACUGUUGUGACAAUGUCAUGCCUUUUUCAAUCUGCAUAUUCAGUUUUAUUUUUAUAUGCAUACUUUUGUUUAGGAUGUGCAUAGAGUUUUUGUCGUCCUCCGCCUGACACCUGGACAAACAGCCAAUCAUCUCAUCCAGUGUUCUGGCAUGUAAAUAACAUCAUUAGUGAGAGUUGUAGGAUUUAAAUCAUGUGUGUCUCAAAUGUUUCAACAUAUUCUUUUUAUACUAAUCACUGUUUCACCACUUUAACAGUGUUAUCAAACCGUGCAGCUGUGUAAAAUACUCAUAAAUAAAUUGUAACGUGUACAAGAAUAAGAAUUUUAUAUAAAAUGCAGACUCUGGUCUGGUGGUAGAAUGUAAUUUAGUACAUUUACUUAAGCGCUGUACUGUAGUGCAAUUCUGAGGUACUCCUUUGUACUUCUACUCAGCUGUAGUUACUUUUCAGAUCCAGAUUAUUUUUGACAAAACACAUAAUCAUGUAAAAUAAGAUGUUUCGUUAUCAAACACAAAAUGCCUUCUUUCUUGACCAGCUACAAAACAUUGCUGCUUACAUAUCAAAGGAUCAUUAAAUAAAACUCUAAUAAUUGAAUAGAUAAUAUCAUGCUGUAUGGUUGC
rnacentral:lncRNA from 1 species